AACGAACGCUGGCGGCAGGCCUAACACAUGCAAGUCGAGCGAAGCCUUCGGGCUUAGCGGCGGACGGGUGAGUAACGCGUGGGAACGUGCCCUUUGGUACGUAAUAGCCCCGGGAAACUGGGAGUAAUACCGUAUGUGCCCUUCGGGGGAAAGAUUUAUAGCCAAAGGAGCGGCACGCGUUGGAUUAGGUAGUUGGUGGGGUAAUGGCCUACCAAGCCGCCGAUCCAUAGCUGGUUUGAGAGGAUGAUCAGCCACACUGUGACUGAGACACGGCACAGACGCCUACGGGAGGCAGCGGUGGGGAAGCUUAGACAAGGGGGGAAGCCGUGAGCUAGCCAUGCCGCGUGUUCGCUGAAGGCCUUAGGGUUGUAAAGAUCUUUCAGUGGGGACGAUAAUGACUGUACCCACAGAACAAGCCCCGACUACCUCCGUGCCAGCCGUCGCCGUAA
rnacentral:rRNA from 1 species